GAUGAACGCUAGCGGCAGGCCUAAUACAUGCAAGUCGAACGGUCAGUAGCAAUACUGAUAGUGGCGCACGGGUGCGUAACACGUAACUAACCUACCUAUAACUGGGGGAUAGCCCGCCGAAAGGCGGAUUAAUACCGCAUAAGCUAGUUGAGAUGGCAUCAUCUUAUUAGUAAAGAUUUAUUGGUUAUAGAUGGGGUUGCGGGUCAUUAGCUAGUUGGUAGGGUAAAAGCCUACCAAGGCAUCGAUCAGUAGCUGGUCUGAGAGAACGACCAGCCACACUGGAACUGAGACACGGUCCAGACUCCUACGGGAGGCAGCAGUGGGGAAUUUUGGACAAUGGGCGCAAGCCUGAUCCAGCAAUGCCGCGUGAGUGAAGAAGGCCUUCGGGUUGUAAAGCUCUUUCGGCCGGGAAGAAGGGUGUGCGGGUGAAUAAUCCGUUCAUUUGAUGGUACCGGAAGAAGAAGCACCGGCUAACUUCGUGC
rnacentral:rRNA from 1 species